rfam:Zootermopsis nevadensis contig4672, whole genome shotgun sequence.
GCCAUGGUGGUCUAGCGGUCAGAACGCUGGCCUUGUAAUCCUGGGGUCUCGGGUUCGAUUCCCGGCGGUGCCC